UACGGGGGGGGCGAGCGUUGUUCGGAAUCACUGGGCGUAAAGGGCGCGUAGGCGGCCCGCACAAGUCUGCGGUGAAAACCCCCGGCUUAACCGGGGGCCGGCCGUGGAAACUGUCGGGCUGGAGGCUGGGAGAGGGCAGCGGAAUUCCCGGUGUAGCGGUGAAAUGCGUAGAAGAUCGGGAGGAACACCGGCGGCGAAGGCGGUUCUCUGGGCCUUACCUGACGCUGAGGAGCGAAAGCGUGGGUAGCGAACAGGG
rnacentral:rRNA from 1 species